rnacentral:rRNA from 1 species
UACAGAGGUGGCAAGCGUUGUUCGGAAUUACUGGGCGUAAAGGGCGCGUAGGCGGCCUCUUUAGUCAGACGUGAAAUCCCCCGGCUUAACCUGGGAACUGCGUCUGAUACUGGGAGGCUUGAGUUCGGGAGAGGGAUGUAGAAUUCCAGGUGUAGCGGUGAAAUGCGUAGAUAUCGGGAGGAACACCUGUGGCGAAAGCGGCUCACUGGACCAUUACUGACGCUGAUGCACGAAAGCUAGGGGAGCAAACAGG